rnacentral:lncRNA from 1 species
CUUGUUAAGCAACCUACUGUGCGCAUUUUUCUCACAUUGGUUGUUUCAAAUGGAUGGUCACUAAGGCAAUAAGAUAUAAAUAAUGUAUUACGAGGCUCAAUAAUAGAUCACGUCUUUAUGUAGGAACAUCCAGAUUUCAUCCAUCCUCAUUUUCAUGACACAUAUGCAAACUAAACAAAGCUAUUUAUGGUCUUUGACAGCACUAAGAGCUUAGUAUAAUGAACUUCGAUCCUUCUUAGUAGGUAAUGGAUUCAACAAUUCCCACAUUGACAGCUUCCUUUUCAUCUGCAAAGACCAAAUACACUUAAUUUAUCUUCUUGUCUAUGUUGACGAUAUUUUUAUUAUUAUUGGUAAUUUUGCUGUCAAAACUCAAAAACUCAUUCAACAUAUAGCUAGUCGUUUCUCUCUCAAAGACCUUAGAAGCUUAAGCUAAUCCUAGGAUGAAAGGCAUUUCCACAUCAUUUGGUGUCUUUCUAUCUCAACAGAAGUAUAUUAAGGAUUUGCAUCAGCAAACUAAUAUGCACAAUGCAAAAGAAGUUUCAACUCCUAUGGCAACUUUUGAAAAACUCCAGGACUAUGAUGGAAAUCCUUCCACAGAUCAUACAACAUAUCGCUACACUAUAGGAUCCAUGAAAUAUCUCUCUUUGACAAGAUCGAACAUCUAUUAACAUCAACAAAUUAUCACAAUUUACACAUAAAUCCUCUUUAAUUCACUGGAUAGCUGUAAAAGGAAUCUUACUAUACCUAAAAGACACUAUCCAUUACAGUAUCUUCAUACAUAAAAAUUUCCCACUCUCCAUAUUGUUGGGUAUAGAAGAAGAUAAUUAUGAGAAAUAUAAGAGUUUACUUAUGAAAUUUGAGGGAUUACAAAGGAGUUGCUACAACACACUCUUUCUCUAAUUUUUUGAGAGAUUUUUCUUACUUCUUCUACAUUCAUAACACUAGAUGGAUACCUUCAUAUUUAUAGGGAACAUUGAGUAAGCUAGUCCUAAGAACUUAUUGCAAUUACAACAAGAUAAUAGGUGUAUU